CCCGCCAGGCGUCGCUGGCGGCCUCGUCUCCUGAGGGGGCGUUUCUAGCUGUGCGAGCCGCCAAGCCCCGGGGCCGGAGCCUUCCUCCGAAGGCCGUGAGCGGCCCUGUGUCCUGCCCCUGGGGAAGGAAGUGGCGCUGAGGGACAGGGCUGACCAAAUGCUAGAAGUCUGCUCUCUUCCUUCUGAUUGCUCCUACUGGUCUACGAGGGCUGGUGGGUCAUUUUCACACCCCUGGAUCUACAAGUUCAAUUCUUCUAUCUUUUUAUUUCCUUUCACAUAUGAUAAUCACCAGAGCAACCCUGGAACACACCCCUUCUGUGGAGAGAGACGGAUACUCAUCUACCCUUGUGAGCU